CCAUGAACUCACUAUGUAGCCCAUGCUGGCUUCUAACUCAUGGCGAUCCUUUGGCCUCAGCUUCUCGAGGGCUGAGAUCACACGCCUGCACCACCAUGCCUUUAUUUCUGGAUCUUGCUAAGUUGCUCAAGCUGGGCUCGAACUUGGAUCCUCCUGUCUCAGCCUCUUGCAUCACCUCACCAGGCUUUCUGCCCACCUCUUUGCAUCUGUGUUUGGCCCCUUAAGGCUUCUGUAACAAAGUUCCACAAUCUGGGUGGCUUGAACAACAGAGAGUUAUUGUCUCACACUCUGGAGGCCAAGAGUCGGAGACGGAGGUGUCGGCUGGGCUGGCGCCUGAGGGGUUCCUGUCGCAUGCCCCGAGCUUAGUUUCAGGGGGUCUGUGUCAGUCUUUGGCCUUCCUUGGCCUACAGGAGCAUCACUCCAGGCUGCCUUUACCAGUCACGUGACGUGCAGGCCUGUGUCCUAAUCACCCUUCCCCACCCCACCACUGGGCCCCUUCUCACUCCCCAGCCCCGGGCCCUUUCUUACCUCUGGGCCCGACCCCUGUGCUUCCCUGACUGAAAGCACCAGCCCCUGCCCAUCUUCCUUCACUGGGCCACUUCCUGCCUCGGAUCUCUGAAGGGCCUCCUCUGGGAUGCUCCCCUCACCACCUCCGGAGCCGCCUGGCUCUGCCCGCACCCAGGGAUCUGCGUGAGGACUGCACAGCAGGUCCCUCCUCCAUGCUGAGAGGGUGCUCGUCCUUGCACAGGGCCCGGAGCGAGGAGCCAGGCUCGCCUGCAGCCGGGAGGGCUGUGUUGCCAGCAGCUUAUCCGAGGUGCUCUCUCUUGCCACCAGCCUGGGGGACCCGGGCUUGGAAACUCACUUUGAUUUUGUCCUUGAUCUCCUGGGAUUUGACGUUUCUUGAUCGCCCCGAGCCUCAGUUUCCCCACGAUCCCACCAAAUGCUCACGGCUGGGGAAACUGGAUCCUCAGCGGCCGGUGGUACCGCGGUUUGGCCUUAGGUGGGGAAAGGAGGCUGGGGGCGUGGGUGAGGCCAGCAGCCGGUGCAGAACCAGAAGUGGUCUGCUGGGGGCGUCCGAGGACUCUGCCGCUUCAGGAAUCCACGUGACUUGCUGGAAUUUGGUCCGUCCCGGGUGGACUGAAACUAUUGGAGCGGUGGAGUCCAUCCAUCCGUCUGUCUGUGUGUCCGUCUGGUCAGCCCAUGGCGUCGCUGUGCGGGGCCAGGGAGGGGCUCCCCUCGGGGCCCGGGGCCGUGUUGGGUGGCCAGGCGGCUUCCUCCCGCCCCUCCUUCUUAGGGCAGUCAGGGCAGGAAGGCUUUCACUUUCGAAGGCUCCGGAGAGACCCAUUGCUCUCGCAGGCAAGCCGGGCCCGGUGCCUCGACAGGUGACGAGUCAAUCAUGAGCUGGUUCCAGAAACAGCUGGGCUGGAACACGAAGCACCACGGCAGCAGCCAGGGGCUGCAGAUGCCCAUAGGCAUCCCCAUUGCGCUCGGAGUCCUGGCCCUCCUCGCCCUCCUGGCCCUGGCCUGCAACUGCCUCACAGAGGCCUGGAAAUCCAAAUGGAGGCCCUGCUGCCAGAGGUGGUGGCACCUUCACCCUGGAAAUGACCAGCAGCUUGUCUCCCUUAAAAGCCCCAGGAUGAGGGGCAGCUGAGAGCCCGCUCCGCAGAGCCCAGCACACCGCAGCUGCCUUCCCCGCCGGCCCCCUGAGGGCCCUCAGCUUCCAUCAGAGGAGGCUGGAGCUCGGCCUCGCUGGCACCUGGCAGGUGCUCAGAAAUAAUGUUAACGCGGACAGUGUGACUCGAGGGGAGAGCGGUGGGGUGCUGGGGGCAUCAGGAGGGCAGCACUCAGGAACGGGUGCCCUCCGCCAGCUGUGGCACUGACUCCUUACCUGCAGCCGCCCGAAGUGGCAGAGACUGUUACUCCCACUCUCAGCAGUCCCCGCCCCUUGGGGGAAGGGGUUUCCCAAAGAGCCGCCAGGAGGCUGGAAGGGUCAGGGGUGAACAGGAGAGUGGGGAGAGGGGAGGCCAGGUACCAGGUGCUGGGUGCUGGGCCUGGCACCCAGCUCUGUCCCUGGCCUCUCCCCCAAGAGGAUGCACCUCCCCUCCCUGUGCAGCCCAGCCCCUUUCCCAGGAGCGCACACAGGGCCACCUGGGACCCCUCAGAGUCCCCAAGUCUUUCUGCCUCAGUGUGGGGAGCGCAGGAGAGGGUAAGGUCCACCUGAGCAUGUGGGGUUCCCUGGACGGGGUGCACAGAGCCGGUGGGGACCCCACGUUCACUUCCCAGACUCAGGGGAGCCACUCCUGAAGUCACGCUGCCUGGGCUCCGGCACUUCCUGGGACAGGGAGGGCAAAUUAGGAAGGGAAGUAGGUUGCGGGCUGUGGUCAGAAUCUCAGAUGGGCCCCAGAUUGCUGCCUCUGGGCCUCCACAUGCUUCAUGAGCCUGCGCCCUGCUGCGCAGACAGAUCUGUGAAUGUAUAGAUGUCUCUCGUGUGAUCAGGCUGUGUUAUGUGGCAACGGCGAAGAUGCCAUUAAGGCCUCAAAACAGGCAUCAUCAGUGGUGCACGCCUGUACUCCCAGCACGCUGGGAAGCUGAGGCAGGAGGAUCUGAAGUUUGAGCUCAGCCUGGGCAAUUUAGCAGGGGCCUGUCUUAAAAAAAAAAAAAAAAAAAAAAAAAAAACGUGGGGACUGAGGUGUCGUCUUUGAGUUAAACAAAAGGAGAGGGGUUGGGUGUAACAGCGCACACCUGCAGUCCCAGUGGUUUGGGAGGCUGAGGCUGGCAGACGGCAUGAGCCCAGGAGCUAGAGGCCAGCCUGGGCAGCGUAACAAGAGCCUGUCUUGCAAAACCAAACCGAAAAGGAAAGUGUGGAGAGAUGAGCCAAGACUCAUCUCUGUGAGCGAGCCUUAGAGCAGUGAGCGUUGCAGCUGACAUUUUUGGGCUGCUGAAGCAGCAAAUAGCCUCGAGCUCCACCCACAGCUCUGGAGAAAUGACUUCUGCCAGCGGCUGCAAGCUUGGAAGAGGACCCAGCACUGUGACUGCAGCCUGAGAGACCCGGGGCAGAGGACCCCAUCCAGCCCUCCCAGGCCCGUGGCUCACCCAAAGUGUGAGAUAAUAAAUGGGCGUUAGAAGCUGC